rnacentral:rRNA from 1 species
AGUGAACGCUGGCGGUAGGCCUAACACAUGCAAGUCGAACGGCAGCACAGUAAGAGCUUGCUCUUACGGGUGGCGAGUGGCGGACGGGUGAGGAAUACAUCGGAAUCUACUUUUUCGUGGGGGAUAACGUAGGGAAACUUACGCUAAUACCGCAUACGACCUACGGGUGAAAGCAGGGGAUCUUCGGACCUUGCGCGAUUGAAUGAGCCGAUGUCGGAUUAGCUAGUUGGCGGGGUAAAGGCCCACCAAGGCGACGAUCCGUAGCUGGUCUGAGAGGAUGAUCAGCCACACUGGAACUGAGACACGGUCCAGACUCCUACGGGAGGCAGCAGUGGAGAAUAUUGGACAAUGGGCGUAAGCCUGAUCCAGCCAUACCGCGUGGGUGAAGAAGGCCUUCGGGUUGUAAAGCCCUUUUGUUGGGAAAGAAAAGCAGCAGGUUAAUACCCCGCUGUUCUGACGGUACCCAAAGAAUAAGCACCGGCUAACUUCGUG